rnacentral:miRNA from 1 species
GAGGAAGCUGGGAUUACGCAG